rnacentral:rRNA from 1 species
GGUUGACCUCGAAUCAGGUAGGAAUCCCACU